GCGACACCGCGCGGAACCAAGCCGUUCUCAGUUCGGAUCGGAGUCUGCAACCCGACUCCGUGAAGCUGGAUUCGCUAGUAAUCGCGCAUCAGCCAUGGCGCGGUGAAUACGUUCCCGGGCCUUGUACACACCGCCCGUCAAGCCAUGGGAGCCGGGGGUGCUUGAAGUGCGUCGCCGCAAGGCGCGCCCUAGAGCAAAACCGGUGACUGGGGCUAAGUCGUAACAAGGUAAC
rnacentral:rRNA from 1 species